AUUGAGGUUAUUUGUUUUUCGUUAGUACCAGAAGCACAGUUCACGUUGUGGCUCUAAUUUUGUGAUUUCUCUCUCUGUGAAUAAUAUAAACAAGGAUGUCUGGUAGAGAAGGAGGAAAAAAGAAGCCCUUAAAGGCACCCAAAAAAGCACAGGCUGAAAUGGAUGAUGAUGAUCUAGCUCACAAACAGAAGAUGAAGGAACAACAAAAGGCAUUGCAAGAUGCUAAAGCUAAAGCCUCACAGAAGGGACCACUUGUGGGAGGAGGUAUCAAGAAAUCUGGAAAGAAAUGAUUAAUACUUUUUUGUUGAAUGUAAAUAACCUGCAUUAACUGUCGAGAUUAGACAUGUCAAAUAUAGUUUUCUUACAUUGAA